rnacentral:lncRNA from 11 species
AUGAUGAUGAUGUUUAUUUAUACACAAGGAGACUCAAUAUCAAAUGCCUACCAUCAUGAUGGCUCAGCGUCCAUGCGAAUGCCUUUCUUGCUUCUCGUUGACAGAUAUCUCUCCGGUGACCCGAUCCCCAUUCCGCUCGACGGUGGCGCAGAGCUCAGCUUCGUUUUCCCUCCGCCGUUGCCUUCUCCCACCGCCUUCUUCCCGGCCCGGCCCUGCGCUUUGCCCUUCGCCCCGCCGCUCUUCCGCUCCCCACGGCGGACCUCUUCCUCCUCUCUUCCGGGGCGCCUCAACCGGGCCCUGUCCUUGGGCACCACCCCGUCCCUGGCCAGGACCGAUUCGGGAUACUUGUUCAGCGGAAGCCGCCCCCCUUCGCAGAUGUCCUUCUCCAAGGAAUCACCUACAUCAGAAUACUUCUCGCUCCUCUCCGGGAGCUGCCUCCCUUCCCCGGUGCCGUCGCCCGCCCCAUCCGUGGCCGGUUCCGUGGCCUCGAGUUCGGGUUCCUUGCGCUACCGCCGACCGCUCAUCAGCCCGGCCCGGCUCAACUUGAAGGGCCAGCGGCUGAUGCUCUUCUCGGCCCAAAACGGGGUCCCCUCCGGCGAGGACUUCGCCCCCUCGGAAAGCCACGGCUUCGCCUCCGACGUGCCCGCUUUCCCCAAGAGGAACCAUAUUGAGAGAGAAAUGCAUGAUACCAGGGCGGUCCUCGAGGCGGGCAGCCUUUGCAGCGAGGGCUCCGCGAAGAAGACGGACAACUCCUCGCACGGUUCCAGCUGCGUGGUGGACACCACGACCAACGGGGAGGAGAGUCCCGGCUGGAAGGGUGAGUGCCAAAAUCGUAACAUCCUCGGGCACUUAAAUGCCUUGAUUCGAUGGACAUUCCUGGACUAGGAAGCUUUACUUGUGGAAUAAUGUCCAGGGUGGGAGAAAGAACUCUUUUGUCUGUUUGAGGCAAGUGUGAAUGUUGCCAUUGGCCAGCUUGAUCAGCAUUGAAUAGCCUUGCAGCUUCAAAGCUUUGCUGCUUCCUGCCCAAGGGCAUCCUUUGUUGGGAGGUGUUAGCUGGCCCUGAUUGUUUCCUGUCUGGAAUUCCCCUAUUUUAGUGUUGUUCUUGAGUGUUGUUCUUAAUUUACUAUCCUGAUUUUAGAUUUUUUUUAAAAUACUGGUAGCCAGAUUUUGUUCAUUUUCAUGGUUUCCUCCUUUCUGUUGAAAUUGUCCACUUGUUUAUGAAUUUCUAUGGCUUCUCUGUGUAGUGUGACAUGGUGGUUGUGAGAGUGGUCUAGCAUUUCUGUGUUCUCAGAUGGUAUGCUGCGUCCUGGUUGGUUCAUUAAUUGCCCACCUUGAUUAGCAUUGAACAGCCUUGCAGCUUUAAAGCCUGGUUGUUUCCUGCCCGAGGGCAUCCUUUGUUGGGAGGUGUUAGCUGGCCCUGAUUGUUUCCUGUCUGGAAUUCCCCUGUUUUCUGAGUGUUGUUCUUUAUUUACUGUCCUCAUUCUAGAGUUAUUUAAUAGUAGUAGCUAGAUUUUGUUCCUUUUCAUGGUUUCCUCCUUUCUGUCGACAUUGUCCACAUGCUUGUGGAUUUCAAUAGCUUCUCUGUGUUGUCUGACAUGGUGGUUGUGAGAGUGGUCCAGCAUUUCUGUGUUCUCAAAUAGUAUGCUGUGUCCAGAUUGGUUCAUCAGUUGGCCAGUUUGAUUAGCAUUUAAUGGCCUUGCAGCUUCAAAGCCUGGCUGCUUCCUGCCUGGGGGGAAUAAUAAUAAUAAUAAUAAUAAUAAUAAUAAUAAUAAUAAUAAUAAUAAUAAAUAAAUAAAUAAAACUUUAUUUUUGUAUCCCGCCCCAUCUCCCCGAAGGGACUCGGGUGGCUCACAUGGGGACCAAGUCCAAAUACAGCAUAAAAUACAAUAUCAAAAUGCAUUUAAAAUAUUUAAACAUAAAGAAUACAAUAAAAACAUACUCAACCAACCAGGGAAUCCUUUGUUGGGGGGUGUUAGCUGGCCCUGAUUGUUUCCUGACUGGAAUUCCCCAGCUUUCUGAGUGUUGCUCUUUAUUCACUGUCCUGAUUUCAGCUUUGGCUUUUUCUUGUAGUCUAAUUCUUUCUCUCUGUUUUGGUUUCGACGAAGGUCGCGUCGGCUGCUGGUCUGUCCGGGGCCUCCUCGCCGUGAGCCUGACCCUCAACGCCGUCUUCACCUCGGCCUUCCUCUACCGAAGCCUGCGGUGAGAGACAAGAUCCGCGUCCUUCCUCUCUCUCCUCGCUUGCAGCCGGUGCCACGUUUCCUCCGAUGGGCAGGAAGGAGUCCGACGGCGGACGAAAAAUACAGACUCGGGGAGGAGAGCGGACAUCUGGCCGACGGCCACUACGACGCUUCACACCUUUCCUUCUUUUGUAGGCAUUUAAUGGACCUCAAAAACGUGGGAGUCCGCCCCCAUUGGGUUCCCUCUCUCGAGGACGACAAACAAUCCAUUUUGGGAUUCUCGCUUGAACCUGGCUGGUAGCUCAUUCCUCCCCAUCUGGCUGGAGCCACUUUUCCGGUGCUGAAGUUUGUCAGAACUUGUUUUUUUUUCCCUUAGUCAAUUGUUUUUAAUUUUAAUUAUCCAAUCCCGCAGCCGUGUUCUGCCUUAGAAAGGGGCACCGCUUCUACUGUAACGAUACAAGCCCCGACAACUGGCGCUGGGCUGCGUCGGCGUGGCUUUCGGAGACAUUACCUGUCGAUACAUACGUGCUGCUGUACUGCAAAUGCUGCAAUUGAUUGCGGGGAAGCGGCUCUUCGUAUGUUGUUUCGGUGGCGAUUGUACCACCCAAGAGACCUCGUCUCAUCCUUGCAAUGUCUCUAAACAAGGCAUGGACAAACUUUAUGAAUCCUGGGCCCAUAACCCAGGCGUGGGUCACCUCGUGCUCUUCCUCCAAGUGUUUUGGGCUUCGACUCCCACCAUUCCCAACAGCCUCAGUCCCCUUUCCUUUCCCUCUCAGCCACUUAAACGAACUUUAUGAAUCCUGGGCCCAUAACCCAGUUGUGGGUCAACUUCGGCCCUCUCUCCAGGUAUUUUGGACUUCAACUCCCACACUUCCCAACACCUUCGGUCCCCUUUCUUUUCCCUCUUAGCCACUUAAACAAACUUUACGGAACCUGGGCCCAUAACCUAGUGUCGGCUCAACUUCUGCGCUUCCUCCAGGUGUUUUGGACUUCAACUCCCAUCAUUCCUAACAGCCUCAGGCCCCUUCCUUUUUCCCCUCAGGAAAGGGCCUGAGGCUGUUUGGAACAUGGGAGUUCGAUUCCCAUAACCAAUACGUAGACGAUGCUAAGACUUCGCCUGGUGUAUUGUUUCCCUGAUUUUCCCCGCUUCGGAACCUAAGCACUAUCCUGUACUCCCCACUAGACUUCUGCUUACUCCGUCUGUCUGUCUACACCAGUGGUUCUCAACCUGUGGGUCCCCAGAUGUUUUAACCUCCAACUCCCAGAAAUCCUAACAGCUGGUAAACUGGCUGAGAUUUCUGGGAGUUGUAGGCCAAAAACAUCUGGGGACCCCAGGCUGAGAACCACUGAUCUAUCUGAACUUAUCCAUCUGAACUAUCUACUCCUAUCUAUCAGAUAGAUCAGAUGAUGUAUCUAUUUGAUCUAUCUAAACACUUCUCUAGCCAUCUAUUAGAACUGUCUAUCUGAAUUAUCUGAUCUGUCUAUCUAAACUGUGUAUCUAUCUGAUCUAUCUAUCUGAACUAUCUACUCUGAUCUAUCUAUCUGAUUUAACUAGUUAUCUGAACUCUCUAUCAGAGCUAUCUAUCUAUCUGAACUAUCUGAACUUAUUUAUCUAUCUGAACUAUCUACUCUGAUCUAUCUUAUCUAUCUAUCUAUUUGAUCUCCAUCUAUCCAUCUGAACUAUCUGUCUAUCUGAUCUAUUUACCUAUCUGAACUAUCUAUCUGAACUUAUUUAUCUAUCUGAACUAUCUACUCUGAUCUAUCUUAUCUAUCUAUCUAUCUAUCUAUCUAUCUAUCUAUCUAUCUAUCUAUCUAAACUAUGUGUUUGAUCUCCAUCCAUCCAUCUGAACUAUCUUGUCUAUCUGAUCUAUCUAUCUGAACUAUGAUCUAUCUUAUCUAUCUAUCUAUCUGAACUAUCUAUCUGAACUUAUUUAUCUAUCUGAACUAUCUACUCUGAUCUAUCUAUCUAUUUUAACUAUCUAUUUGAUCUCCAUCCAUCCAUCUGAACUAUCUUGUCUGCCUAUCUGAACUAUCUAUCUGAACUAUCUGAUCUAUCUAUCUAUCUAUCUUAACUAUCUGUUUGAUCUCCAUCCAUCUAUCUGAACUAUCUGUCUAACUGAUCUAUCUAUCUAUCUGAACUAUCUACUCU